UCGAACGAGAAAGCCGCAAGGUGAGUAAAGUGGCGUACGGGUGAGUAACACGUGGAUAAUCUGCCCUUUAGUGGGGAAUACCGUUGGGAAACCGACGACAAUACCGCAUAAUCUCGAGAGAGGAAAGCAGCAAUGCGCUGAAGGAGGAGUCCGCGGCCGAUUAGCUAGUUGGUGAGGUAAUGGCUCACCAAGGCUGUGAUCGGUAGCCGGCCUGAGAGGGCACACGGCCACACUGGCACUGAAACACGGGCCAGACUCCUACGGGAGGCAGCAGUGGGGAAUCUUGCACAAUGGGGGAAACCCUGAUGCAGCGACGCCGCGUGAGCGAUGAAGCCCUUCGGGGUGUAAAGCUCUUUCGGCAGGGACGAUAAUGACGGUACCUGCAGAAGCAGCUGCGGCUAACUACGUGCCAGCAGCCGCGGUAAUACGUAGGCAGCAAGCGUUGUUCGGAGUUACUGGGCGUAAAGGGUGCGUAGGCGGCUCGAUAAGUAUGGUGUGAAAUCUCCCGGCUUAACUGGGAGGGUGCGCUAUAGACUGCCGGGCUAGAGGGUGGGAGAGGAAAGUGGAAUUCCUGGUGUAGCGGUGAAAUGCGUAGAUAUCAGGAGGAACACCGGUGGUGUAAACGGCUUUCUGGACCACUUCUGACGCUGAGGCACGAAAGCGUGGGUAGCAAACAGGAUUAGAUACCCUGGUAGUCCACGCCCUAAACGAUGCAUAUUUGGUGUGGGCCAUU
rnacentral:rRNA from 1 species